UCUCCGUAGGUGAACCUGCGGAAGGAUCAUUAUUGUAUCAUCGAGGUGCGAGGGCUAACGCUGACCCGAAAGGUCGUGCACGCCCGAGUGCCCUCACACACAUCCAUCUCACCCCUAUGUGCACCACCGCGUGGGUCCCCCUUUGGCUUGUUCGGAGGGGGGCUUACGUUUUCACACAAACUUUGUAUGCAGUGUAGAAUGUAUUUUUUGUUUUUGCGAUCACGCAAUCAAUACAACUUUCAACAACGGAUCUCUUGGCUCUC
rnacentral:misc_RNA from 1 species